UUUUAUGAGAGUUUGAUCCUGGCUCAGGACGAACGCUGGCGGCGUGCCUAAUACAUGCAAGUCGAACGCUUCUUUUUCCACCGGAGCUUGCUCCACCGGAAAAAGAGGAGUGGCGAACGGGUGAGUAACACGUGGGUAACCUGCCCAUCAGAAGGGGAUAACACUUGGAAACAGGUGCUAAUACCGUAUAACAAUCGAAACCGCAUGGUUUUGAUUUGAAAGGCGCUUUCGGGUGUCGCUGAUGGAUGGACCCGCGGUGCAUUAGCUAGUUGGUGAGGUAACGGCUCACCAAGGC
rnacentral:rRNA from 1 species